UAUCCAUGAGGAUGUGGGUUCAAUCCCUGGCCUCGCUCAGUGGGUUAAGGAUCCAGCAUUGCCAUGAGUUGUGAUGUAGGUCACAGAUGUGGCUCGGAUCCCUCAUUGCUAUGCCUGUGGUGUAGGCUGGCAACUGCAGCUCUGAUUUGACCCCUAGCCCGGGAGCUUCCCUAUGCCACAGGUGCGGCCCUAAAAAAAGUUUAUCAUAAAAAUUUUUUUAAAUUUAUUUUGCUUUCUUGAUGCAAAUUAAAGUAGUAUUAAAUUGCUAGGGCUUGCUGUCAUUAUGUGCUUUUCUUAUCAAUUAAUGUUUAUGACUAAACAAUUAACUUACACUACCUGGGAAUCUUUAAUUAAAAGGGUUCCACAAUUUUGAAAAGGCCAGGAACCGUGAACCCCCGCGAUCAACUAAAGGACUUGCAGGUACUUUCUUUUCCUUGUGGGUGCCUGGUGAGGAACCCCACGGCUGGUAACAGGCUGGCGCCACCACCUGCUUUCCUGCCUCGAUUCCAGCGGUUUUACUCACCACUGCUUUUGCGCCUUAGUUCUUAGAUACAAGUAUCACUGCAGUGAAAAACAGCAAGGAACAUUGCAGCAUCUCCGUGAAAAUGUCUUCAUCUACAGGCCCCAUGAAAGGGUCCUCAGGUCUCCUGGGGGUCUGGAAAUGAGGCUUUGAGAAGCGCUGCUCCAAGGAGAAGAGGACCUGAGAUGCUCCCUAAAUUGUAGAGCAGCAGGUCUGAAUCUCACUUGGGAACAAUGUCCCUAAUUGUAGGCCCAGGACGUUCAACGGACCGCCGUGGAAACCUGCCAAGGUGCAAGACCAGGCCCUGCCCCACCGGCUCGCUGUUGGGGCCGCAGCCAUCUGGUGGCACACCAUCUCCAUGCCUCAGAGCACAAACCAAAGGCACAUCUCUGAAAAUGUGGGGAUUUCUAGGAAGGCCUUUUUUUUUCAGUCACAUCCUUCCAAUCCAGACUCCAAAAUAGCGAUAAAGAAACCGAGAGCCUUUCCUACUAGCUCCUGUUCGACCUCAUGUGGUGCCCUGGUCAGGAGCUUGGUGACCCAGAGUCAGUCUAGAGUUAAAGCUCUCUUCUGCCCCUUGCUAGGGCACCCUGGUAUCGAGCCACUUGUCCACAUCCGAGCUUCCUCAGAAGUCAAUUUUGUGUUGUGAUGCUUGUUGCCCCCAGAGAACUGUGACAAGGUUUAGAUCAGAUGAUACGUCUCUGGCGUAUCACGCUUGAGCAGUAGAUUCUCAAUAGACGGUAGCGUUAAUUUGGAAGUAGGCACACAGAAGGACGGUGCAUUCCAACAUGUGCUAAAGCCUGAAUAUUUACAGCCGUGAAGGGGCGUUCGUCUUCAGUCAGGUACCCACCCGGCAGGACGUUAGUGCAGCAAGAGCCCUUGGAAAUCAUGCCAUGGCCGCCCCCAUUUAGCCCAAGAAGAAGGAACUCGGCGAAGUCUGACAUUCCCCAAGCCCUGCUGCUUUUUAAGUUUCAUUCCCUGCUCUGCCCCUCACCCUCCCAACUCCCAGGCCAAUGAUCUUUACAAGUAGCUCCCAGGCCCCAUUGUCCCUUUGUUUUACGUUUUUUCGGGGGGGCGUGGGGGGCAUUGACUACAAUGAAAAUGCACUUGGGACAUGAUGUCCCUACCACCCUGCUCUGCUUCAUCGAGGCCACACAUGGUUGGAACGUCAGCGUUGGUCGCCAGCUGUCACACUUCCUGCUCAACAAAGACAAAGUUGCAAGCAACCCGCAUUCCAGAGCACAGGGCAGCUGUUUAAAGAAAAAAAAAAAUCCUUUUUUUGGCAUAGGGAAGUUGCUGGGCUAGGGAUUGAAAUCCGAGCUGCAGCUUCAAUCUACGCCCCAGCUGGGGCGAUGCUGGGUCCCUAACUCACUGUGCCAGAGCAGAAACUCCAAGAAGACAAUCCUUCUGGAUCUGGCCUUCAAGCAGUGCCACACGUUUCAAGCAAAAGCUGUACCCUCAAAGCAUAAAAGCUUGCUUUCUACGCAUAAAAGCAAGCCACCCCUUCACACCCUGAUUAGAGGGAGAUAAAACAGAGCGAAGGGAAACCUAAGGAGCCUGCAACCGUAAACGGAGGAGGUCAUCACCAUUGGCCCCGACCCACGCGGCCAAGAGGAAGAAAAUCAAGCUCUGCCCAGGCGGGGUUGGCACAGGGCCUUGAGGAUAAUGAAAAAUGACACAGCUACCUUCUUCAAGAACUUUCUUAGCUUUGGAGUUCCCGUCGUGAUGCAGCAGAAGUGAAUCCGACUAGGAGGCCAGGGAUCAAACCCACAACCUCAUGGUUAGUAAUCAGGUUCAUUAACGACUGAGCCAUGAUGGGAACUCCCAGUCUUCAUUUUCAUCUCAUUCUGUUAUUCAAUCUUCUCUUCCUUAAUCCCUUAUUGAAUUUAUAUUUUCACUAAAUUAUAUAAUACAAAGCCUCCCCAGGAAAUUCUCUUCUUUUAGGGUGGUUUUCUGCCCAGACAGGGUUCUUGAUCUUUUGUGAAUACUUCCUGUCUUCUUGCCUGCCUGCCUUUGUUUGGUAGACGUAUCACAGCAUUUGUUUGCAUCUUCCUCCUUUUAAAUGUGGAUACUGCAGCCCAGACUCUGUAUUUAUGCUGACAAAUAGUGUGAGUGAAUUCUCAGCAUCCUUUGGGGACUGGCUGUGGGAUUUUUGUAGGUCUGCCUUUGCCUGCUGUGAUCCAUUCUCAACUCAGCAACAACAGCGAGCCUGCUAAGAUGCUAGGUCCUGUUGGGCCCUGCUUCACCCCCUCCAGGGCUCCCCACCUCUUCCCUGUGUCCACUCUGCUCUGCUCCCUCCCUCACCUGCUUCCAAGGGAGGCCUCUCCUGAGCCCCCUCCCCCAACACUGCCCAUCAGGCAGCAAGGAGGAGGAGCUGAACAAAUUGUGGGGUCAGCCAGCAGCCCUUCCCUGCCCCUCCCCAGCCCCAGAAAACUUUCUCCUGUAGACCCUAGCAUUACAGAUUCUCUAGUCCAAUUUAUAAACAACUUUAUCAGAUAGAAUUCACAUAUUACAAAAUUCAUCAGUAGGUUUUGUUUUGUUUUGUUUUUUGUUUUUUGCCUUUUCUAGGGCCGCUUCCCACAGCAUAUGGAGGUUUGCAGGCUAGGGGUCUAAUUGGAGCUGUAGCCACAGGCCUAGGCCACAGCCACAGCAAUGUGGGAUCCGAGCCGAGUCUUCAACCCACACCACGGCUCAUGGCAAUGCCGGAUCCUUAACUCACUGAGCAAGGGCAGGGAUCAAACCCACAACCCCAUGGUUCCUAGUCAGAUUCGGUAACCACUGCGCCACGAUGGGAACUCUCAUCAGUAGGUUUUAGUACGUGUCAAACUGUGCAACUAUCACCAUGGUGUAAUUCUGGAGCAUAGCAUCAUCCCCAAAAGAAACCUCACCCCGUUUGCAAUCACUGCCCGUUCUCCUUGUCCCCACCCCCUGCCAGCCGCUAACUACUCUCCAUCUAUUAAUUUGCCAUUCUGGACAUUUGGUAUCAUGAAUCUGUACAAUAUGUAGUCUUAAGGAAAUACCUUAUUUCAGUGAACACAAUCUCUUGGAAAUUCAUUCAUAUUGUAGCAUGUGGAGUUCCCAUCGUGGCAUAGUGGAAAGAAAUCCAACUAGGAACCAUGAGGUGGUGGGUUCAAUCCCUGCCUCAUUCCGUGGGUUAAGGAUCUGACACUGCCGUGAGCUGUGGUGUAGGUUGCAGACGUGGCUCGGAUCUGGUGUUGCUGUGGCUGUGGUGUAGGCGGGCAGCUGUAGCUCUGAUUGGACCCCUAGCCUGGGAACCUCCAUAUGUCAUGGGUGGAGCCCCCCCCCAAAAAAAAGGCAUAUUGUAGCAUGUCUUAGAACUUUCUUCUUUUUGUUGCCAAGUAGUUUGGUCUUUUGUAUGGCUAUACCGAGCAUAUCUGUCCAUUCGCCCCUGGAUGGACGCAUCCUUUGCUUCCGCCUUUCACUCUUGCGAGUGAUGCUGCUGUAGACAUUCAGGUGCGGGCUCUCGCGUGGAUGGACGUUUCCCUGUCUCCAGGGUAUGUGCCCAAGAGUGGAACUGCUGCAUCAGACGGUGACUCUCUGGAGGUCGAGGAGCUGCCACAUGUUUUCCAAGCAGCUGUACCAUGUGACAUGCCCUCCAGCAACGCGUCAUUGGUUUUUAUUCUCAGGGAACAGCACCAACCAACUCUUACCCGCUUCUUUAUUUCACCUACGCGCCUUCAUGAAAUGUCUCUUUGAUUUAGAGACAGGCCAGUUUCCAAGAUACUUGUUCAAGGAAGGAAGUAGCUGACAGCCAACGCCCUGCACCAGCACAGGCGGUUGAAUGACGAGAUACAACUUCAAGCAUGAACACACCCUCAUACUUGGAGCUCUCGACACCUGUCAGAAAUGGACAGAUGCCGCAGACAGAAAUCCAGCAAGGACACAGUUGAACUCAACAGCGCCGUCAAUCAGCGGGAUGAAACGUACAUCUAUAGACACCUAAGACAGCAGAAUACAUAUUCUUCCCGGGGUCCCACUGGAAUUCAGCAAAAGAGACCACAUUCUGGGCCGUAAAAUACAUCUAUCUUCAAUUAAAAGAAAAGAAAUCAUAUAACGUCUGCCCUCAGACAACAGAGAAACCAGAAAUCCCCCAAUACGUGGGAUUUCUAAAUAACGCCAUGCUUGUAUACACAUCUGCCAAAGAAGAACUCCGAGGAGAAAUUUUAAAAUAUUUUGAGCUAAAUGAAAAUUAAAAGACAACUUCCCAAAAAUUUUAAGUGGUGAGAAACUCAAAGCUUUACCACUAAAAUCACCUGCAAACCAAGGAUGUCUCUUACGACUCCUCCACGUCAUACUGGAACUUCUGCCUCAUGCAAUAAGACAAGGCAAAGGAGAAGGAUACAGCUGGGCAAAAAAAUACAAAACUGUUUUUGUUAGAUGACAGAAUCAUAUGUCGAAAACCCCCUCCCAAAAAUUUGACCCAAAACGCCUCGAUCUAAUAAGCAGUUACAGAAAGUUUGCAGAAUAGAGGGAUAAUAUUAAACAGUCAGCCACUUUCCUACAUACCACAAAUGAACAAGUGGAAUUUGAAAUUAAAGACACAAUGCCAUUUACAUCAGCGCUCCCCAAAAUAAAAUACUUGGGUAUAAUUAAGAAAAUAUGUGUAGGAGUUCCCGUCGUGGCGCAGUGGUUAACGAAUCCAACUAGGAACCGUGAGGUUGCGGGUUCGGUCCCUGGCCUUGCUCAGUGGGUUAAGGGAUCCAGCAUUGCCUUGAGCUGUGGUGUAGGUUGCAGAUGCGGAUCGGAUCUCACGUUGCUGUGGCUCUGGCGUAGGCUGGUGGCUACGGCUCCGAUUCGACCCCUAGCCUGGGAACUUCCAUAUGCUGCAGGAGCGGCCCAAGAAAUAGCAAAAAAAAAAA
rnacentral:lncRNA from 1 species